AAGAUUUGAUGAUAAAGAUGAAUGUUUUUGUUUUUGGGUAAAAAGGGAAAACCAAUAAGAUGCAUGAGAUGAAAAAAGAUUGGUGAUGAUGUUAACCUAGGAUGGAUGACGUUAUUGAUGUACACUUGGGUAAUUAAAGAAAUCACACAAAUAUUGUUAACAGUUCUACGAUUGAUAGAAGAAAAAUCUGCGGUGAAUAAUCUUAACGGUAACAUUUUUUUGAAAAAUUGUUAGACAGCAGCCAUUCUGGUGAAUCCAUAAUUUUGGAGCAAACAAUUGUUAAAUGUUAAACUAAUUGGCGUCCAUCAACUCUAGAUGAGACCAUUGGUCGACCAAAAAUGAGACCAAAAAACAAUAUAAAAGUGUCGAUUUAGAAGAAAUUAAAAUGUUUGAUUUACAAUUAAAAAAAACAACAGAAAAAUUUGAAUUUGUUGAUCAUAAGCUUUUGCUUCAACCAUGCUGGGAAGGGGUUACUUCAUUUUUUCCCACUUCUCCCUCGAUGAGUGAUAAGGUUGAAGAUAUGAAUUUGCAGACAACGUUCAUACAAAAUGGUUUUAUAAGAUUUCGAAAUGUUUCUUCUUUAUAAUUGUUUUUGUUAAUUUGUGUGAGUGUGUGAAUGUGUUAGCACUAUUAUCCUCGUUUAAUCAACCAUCAUUAAAAUCAGUGUCGUUUCUAAUUAAAAUACGAUUCCAGUUUGCCUACAAGUUACAAAUUGAACAGUUUUUUACUUUUUGUUACUCUUCCCUUCUGACAAACCAAACGAUCAUCUGAUCAAACCAGUUAUAUAAUAUUAAUAUAAGUGUAAACUGGCGCUAAUUGAGAAAGUGUUACUUGAUCUUUUUUUGUACAGUUAUCAUCAGUAUGAUUACAUGGAUUACAUCAAGGAGAUGCCCCAAUGGUUAAAGUCUACCUUGAAUACAGGUAGACAUGGUUAUUUUUUUACAAUAAAUCAAAUAGGCCAUUAACUAAAUGCCGUUAUUUUGGUUGCCAUUGAACAAAGGUCGAUCGUGAGCCUGUUCAUUACUCGUCCAUAUUUACUGGAAAAACGUACUCAUCACUAUUGACUGAUGAUUCAAAGUUUAAUAGCUUGGUCCUCUCAUCCAAUCUUGGCCCUUUAUACCCUUCAUGACUCCGAUAGGUCCCUUCUUUUGGUCACUGGACAAAUUUUGGUGUAAUAUUGCCCUUUCAUUGAUUUCAAAAUAUUUAUAAUGAAAGAUCAUUGUCAGGAUGGCCGAGAAUGUUUACUUGUUUACCAUCUCCGUGAUUUCCUCUUAUUUGUGUUUUGAAUUUGGAGCCGGUAGAAUUUUGAAACUUUUGGCAUUGGAAAAUUGCAAUAAACAUGACAAACUUGAUGAAACGAGAUAAGUCAGGAUUUAAAGCUGAAUCAAAUAUUUGGGUUACUGUUAUUAUCGUUGAUGAAGGUGAUCAUGACUAACACUAAAGGCAGGACUUUUCGUUUCCUAUUAAAGAGGAUUGGAGAGAAAAAUUCCAUUCAAAUGUAGCUUUAAGCUAUGCAUGUAUUAUCAAUACCAUAAUCAUCAUUAUAUUUUCUUGAAAUCUUUUUUCAUAUCA